AUGUGUGUGUGCGUUCAUGCGCGCACGCGUGUAUUUGUGUGUGUGUGUGUGUGUGUGUGUGUGUGUGUGUGUGUGUGUUGGACCACUAGGACAACAUGGUACUUCUUCUACAUUCUUUUCUUACUACUUUCUUCUUCCUUACUUUCUUCUUUUUCUGUCCUCACCCUACAAUCUUCCACUUCCUUUCUUUUUCCCCUUCUGGAGAAACCUACAAAAUUGGCAUUGGAAGAAUUUCUCCUAGAUCUAUUCAAAGCCAGUUUUCUGGACUUCAGAUCAGAGCAUGCGGCAGUGGCCACACCCCGGACAACGGCUUCGACAGGCGGGCUAACCUUGUGAGUGUAGCCAUCGGGUCGUCGACCCCUGGUGAACCAGGUCUCUGCCCACCCAGCAUGUGAAGACUGCUUUGGCGGAACAGAUGGAAGAAAGCAAUAAGAAGGUUCAACGGCUGAGAUGGCAACGCAGCAAAGCACUGUGGAGUGCUUAGGGCGUGUUGGAGCACAAAAGACAACAUAGCCAUCCAAUGCAGCUGAGGAAGUCUCCAGGUGUAACGACUUUCCAUGACACUGGACCCAGGCUUCCAACGCCGAGAGAGUGGGACUGUCUCUGUGCAUCGACUUUUCCACUUAAAUCUCCUUCACGCACAAGUGUCUUUGUGCACACUCAUCUAUCAUAGAUGAAAACACACAAAGAUAAUCGUCAUUCUCGGUUACCAAGAGACUACUACCACAUAACACUAUGAAACAGGCACUCUGCUAAAUACUUUACAAAUAUUAUCUCAUUAAAACUUCAAAACAACCUUGUAAGUUCAAAGAUUUUAUUAGCUCAGUUUUGAAGUUGAGGAAAUGGAGGCAAACAGAAGUUAAGCAACUUGCCCAGGGUCACUUAGCUAGUAACUCAGGCCCAAUUUGAACAAAGGUCAUUUUGAUUCCAGACCAUGUCUCCCAAUUCUGAAAUUCUGUGGUUUGGGGAUGAUGGUUAUAACUUAUAUGUAAAAUUAAGAACAAUUUUAAUGGAAGUCAUCACAUUGAAAACUCAUGAUAUCUGAGCUACUUGGAAUGCAAGCUUUCAAAACAUAAAGACUUAAAGGAGGAAAUUAGAACUGUGUGUGAACAAGAAGUUCAAAUAAAUCCCAUCAUUCUGUCCUCUGCCA
rnacentral:lncRNA from 1 species